AUGUUCACUGCCGCGUCCGUUGGUGGAUUUAGAUUUCGCGGCUUCGCGCAACGUCCGGCUAUCGGAACUAGGGGAGGCAUCCUAUUGCUUUGGGAUGAGAACCUUCUUGAUGUCAAUGACAUUGUCGCAACCAACUACUGUUUGUCAGCCUCUGUGCAAAUUCGUUCAUCCGGAAUCUGCUUCAAGGCAACAACUGUCUAUGGCCCCACGGACCAGGCUAGCAAAGAUGCUUUCUUUGCGGAGAUCACCGCCCACAAGCCGUUGCAGGAUAUGGCAUGGCUCGUCCUAGGGGACUUCAACCAGAUCUACCGAGCUAGAGACAAAAAUAAAAGGAACGUGAAUCGUAGUAGGAUCAACCGCUUCCGGUCUGUGUUGCAAACCUGCGAUCUCAAGGAAAUCCACCUCCAGAAUCGGCGUUUUACAUGGAGCAAUGAGCGUAAUAACCCAUCGCUAUGCAAGCUCGACUCAUUCUUCUGCAAUGCCGAGUGGGACACCACUUUCAACACUCAUGUCCUCCAUGCCCUGUCGUCCUCCCUCUCCGACCACUGCCCCUUACUGCUAGCUGAUGACAAGGGGCCGAGACGGCCUCGAUCCUUCAAGUUCGAAAACUUCUGGGUUUCUUUGCCUAGAUUUCAUGAGGUGGUCCAAAAAGCUUGGAAUGAGCCAAUGCAGCACUCUGAACCUUACCUAAGGCUUCACCAUAAACUCAAAAAGACUGCUUUGCGGCUUUCUGAGUGGAGCAAGAAUAUGUUCUCUAAGGCCAAGAUCCACCUACAUGCAGCCCACAUGGUCAUCCUUCGCCUGGACAUUGCUCAAGAGGAGCGGACUCUCUCUGUGGAGGAGCUAGACCUU
rnacentral:rRNA from 1 species